rnacentral:lncRNA from 1 species
ACCAGUGUGUGGUCUAUCUUGUCAUCUUUUCCUAGGUGCCAGAUGAGGUUUUUCACUGGCAUGGUACCACAUUGCAUAUAGGAUUGAGUCUUAGUAUAUUUGUUGCAUAACGCUUGUGUAUUGACCGAUAUUGAUUGGUUGAGUGAUAUUGUGUUUUGAUCCUUGAGUACGUGAAUGAUGUGAAAAUGUGUGAGACGUGUAGUGUUGA